UUUUUUUCCCUCAACAUUGAAAAUUAAUUCUUACAUCUGGUUACAUUGUCUGCUCCCUCUUGCUGCCAAAUUAAUCUCAAGGACAGCACAAGAAUGUCACAUCUGAGGCACUCCCUAAUCAACGUUCCAGUCUAGGGGAAAGCAGAAAGGUGUCACUGAACGGUGAGGGGACUCUUUUGUUAGCUUGGGUUAUCCCAGUGGUGGCUACUUUCAGCACCUGAGGAGCUUAUGGGACAGGACAAUCCCACAGGCACUUCACUGCAGGACAGUUAGCACCAAGGGCUAAGGUUGGGAAAGACUGCAGGCCUGGCCUGCCUGCAGUGCAGGGGAACAGAGUCCCAAAAUGUAAAGCAGCAGCCAGGGAGGGCACCACCCGGGCAGCAACAACAUUAGGAACUUCUUUCCUUUGGGGUAUGUGUGUGUUUCAGUUUUUGGGGGCCCAUGGAAUCUGCAGCCAUGAGAUAGACAGCCUCAUCAAUUAGUACAUGUGGGGACUGUUCUAGCCUAGCAGGACUACUCAGUCCAUAGCUUUGCAUUUAAUUCCAUAAAAGGCUAAGAGACAAGUGAGGUAAAGAAAGGGUUCAGUACCCCCACUAUACUGAAUUGGGGCUGGUAACCCAUCAAUGCAUAUUACCUACUUUCUGGCUACAUCAAAUGGGGAUAAAUCAAAACUGUGCCAAGGCUGCUUUUCCCUUUAAAAUGAUGUCUACCUGCUAAAUGGGGAAAACUUAUCACUAAUUUCUGGGGGAAGGAACAUUCCAAGUGGCUUGGUACCUCAGCUUAAGCAUCUGAAAAGCAGGAGUGACUAAUGUAGAGUUUUCUGCCUUCACCUAGAAAUGGUUUAUGGUUGGGAGGCUCUGGGCAGCAGACCCCAGUGUCAGUUUCUUAAUUGAAGCCAAACAUCCCUACCCAGGGGCAGAGAUGGACCUGCAUCUACAGAGAUACAACUUCUAGUAAGUACACUGACAGUUUUGUAACAGAUAAAAACAUAUUUUCAUUGUCAAAAUCUUUACAGAACAUAUCCAAAACCAAAAUUAGAGCACACAGACACCCAGUAGCAAGAGCACCUCAAUCAUAGGUGAGUGAAUUGUGUAAAAUUCGGAGCACUUGCUCCAGGUUCCCAAGUGUAGGAAACUGCCCUUUUCUCACAAGGAUGUUGAAGAACAAAGAAUGUUCUUCCUUCUUCGAACGCUCAGGUCCCAUUAGGGGUCUACUGGUUAGUCAUUCGGGUGGGCCUUUGGCCCCAAGCCUGGGCCUUCCCUAUGGGAAAUCCCAGUUGAUUCCAAUGAAUCUUCACCACCCUUUACACAUUCAUCUGUCUUGGGCUAGUAAAGUGCAGUACAUCAUGUACCCUAUCCUGUCCUCCCCUAUGGGUAAGGCCCCAAUAGAGGCAGAGAUCUCUUAGCUAUCUGAUCAACCCAGGUAUCUUGUCCAUUCUGAGAGGGCUUCCAAAGUGUCAUUGUAGCCUCUCUCAUAAGUACAUGGUAUCAGUUAUGACCUGGAACCAAAUAUAAAGGUGCAGAGAAAGAUAAAGCUGUCAGAACACAUUAUAUCUAUACAUAUAUAAUUCAAUUUUGAAACAUGGAUACAAAUACUAAUUUACAAUAUAUUUCAACCUUCUGCCUUAAACCCAAGAGAGCUUUUUGUGUCAUCCAAAGUGGGCAGAAAUGAGAAUUUCUGCCUGCUGUCCCUUUAGUGCAAAAUCUAGUCCUUUAAAUGCUCCCCUUCUCAUCAAGGGCUUCACAUCUUCAGAUAUGCUAACAUGGGAACUAGCAAACACAGUGGCCAAGACAGCUCCAUUUCCAACCAUGCAAUAAUGGAGCUUUAAGAAUUUGCUCAGCAACUACUAGAGAAAAAGAAAGCUAGUUAUGCUUAUAAAAUCACUUAGUGAAGGACCUAUAAACUCAGUUUUUUUCAAAAUUAUCUUUCACUUUGCUAAACAUGUAUAUCGUUUGGGGGAAAACCCACAAACUCUUAUAAGUCAAUGAACAACAAAGUCCUUUAGUCUGUCUUUGGAUAGUUUACCAAAGAGGCACUAAUGUUUGCUCCCUCCAUGCUCUUAAAUUUUGGUAUCUUAGCAGAUACAGUGUAAUCUUUGGUUACAUAAUGUGAUGUUUUCAUCUCUUUGUCUUUUUUUUUUAAAUGCUUUCAAAGAUUUUCAAAGAGAUUAGUGGUGAGAAACAGACCUGCCUAUAAAAGGCAGCAGGGGUAUAAACCUCCUUUUACAAGAAAAUGCACAUGCUAAAUGGCUUAUUUUGAUUUUCAGUUUGGGAUCUGAUCCUGUGCUUUAGCAUUCCUGGUUCCCAUGACCCCUUAAGGGGGUUGAGCACAAAGGCCAUUCUUUUGGUCCAGUGCCCUCUCACCUGGGGAACUGGCACAAGAUAAUUAGUAGUCAGCCUCUUGUUUCCCCAGAGCCACACAGGGAUAGUUACAGGGCUGUCUGCAGAGUCUUGUGAAGUGCAAUCCUGGCACAGGGAUGGGAAGGGGUCGAGGGGAGUGGUUUGGGCUUUGGAGCCCCACAGAAUAUCAAGAGAGCAAAGAGGGCAAGGCCAUGUCUGUACUGUGGCUAAUGAAACAAACUCUUAGAAGCUACUCGAAGCUCAAAGUUAGGUCAUUCGUGUAGUGUCACUAUCAUGUGUAUGAUGAAACUACUUUCUCUUAAAGUGCAAAUAGAAAUACCUCUUGCUAUAUAUGCAUAUAUGUAUUUAGAAGUAGAAUAUGGACAGGGAGGGACUCUAGCAUCAGCACAUUAUUUCUCAACCUGAAAUCACCUCAGCAACUAUCCAAAGGACAAAGCAAAGCUUUUUUCUCUUUUUUUUUCAUGCCAGUGAACAUAUAUAAAAAUAUAUGUAUUACUGAUUUUCUUUUUCAAAGAUAAAUGACAGAAUUCUUUGAAAAAUUCCAUUCUCAUUAAAAAAAUAACGAACUCUCCAAGAACAAUGGUAUUGUCUGUGGCACAGAUAAGCUAUGGAACAAAGAACCCAACCCUCAUCUCAGCUCAGAGGCCAGGCCCAGAAGAGCUGCCAAAUGAACAAGAGCUGAAACUGCCACAAGACUGUUUUCUUUGACCACAGAGUUUGUGACUCUCUGGCAGCACAGAUGGGGCAUUCUCCCUGGUGCUCCUUCUUUUUCUCUUCCUCAUUCUAUCCCCAUUGAGCACUGCAGACUUCUUUGGAGAUAGUUACCAUUACUUGUCUGGGAGGGAUCCUCAUCUUUCCAUUCAUCAGGUGAAUGGAUCUAGGUGGCCAAUCCUUCACAGGUGAGUACAGUGUACCAACCACAUUAACUCUGUACAGCAGAGUGCAUGCAAAAUGAGACUUCUGUCAAUUACACUGGCUAGAACAUCAAUGGCCAAAAGGAAAAAAAUCCCCUUUUUUCUGUGGGAGAACAAAGCCAAACUAAGAUCUCCUUCACUCACUGAAACCCCAGUGCAAAAAAACACUGGGCCUAAACCCUGGUUCAGGCUGUUUUUUCCCUAGUCUCGCCAUUUGGAAAUUCAGCAUAAUUUAGUUGUUGCUGCUUUUAAUUACACUGCUGUUUCACUGAUUUUUGGCUUUCACAAAUACAAAACAUAUAUAUUCAUAAAGACAAGAGUCACAAUUGGGAAAUCCAUAAAGGUGAAAAAUUUGGUAGUCAACAGAAAUAAAAAGGAGAGCAUCCAGUAUUUACAAGGAGAGAUAUUAGAAUGAUAUAAUCAAAUCCAUGUACCAUAAAAGAUGAAAAUCAUUUUAAAACAGAUGUAAAAGAACUAUUAAACUAUAACCUAGUGUAACUAAAAACAGUGAUGGGUUGUUUUUUCUUUGAUUUGUUUUGUUUAAAACAGCCAGAAGUAAUCUCAUGAGCUUACAUAAGCCAAAUGAUGAUGUCCUAAAAAAAAAAAAACAAAAAACAAACAAACAGAAUUCAUCUAUCCUACCUCAGAAAGAGAACCUGUCAGCUUUAGUUUUGUCCAGCAGUCUUGGAUUGGUGUAUCACCCAUCUUAGGUUCCCCUGUCUCUUGUUAUUUAAAGAAGCUGUUUUGCAAGUUCAUUUUGCUAUUAAUAUCAACACAGAAACCAGGGGAGGAAACCCAUGUAGAUAGUAACAUGUCACUCAGAAACUACCUUCUCAAUAAGUAGAGUGAAAUGGGCAGCUUGGCAACUGGCCCCUAAUUUCUUGUGUUUAGCAGAUGAACAUAAGAGCUAAGUGAGGAAGCAGUUGCCAAGAUGAGAAAGUAGGUGGACAUUCCCCCUGAACUCAGGACUGGGGGCGAGGGGCAAAGUCAGCAAAACAGAGGUGUGCCAAAGGACCAUAUGAAACCAGUGUUCCAGGAGCACACCCUGAGUUCAUGGAUGGCAGCCCAUUGGAGCCAUGCCAACCAGACCUUUCCAAAGGAGGUCAUGGUUCUGUAGUAUAAAUGUUUCAGUCUCCCUCUGGCUGAGAGGCAGUAACAAAGGUGGGGGGGGGGGGUCUGAGUGAGUAUGGCCAACGUCAGAGCCCAGAAUCAGCAGUGGAGGAGAAUGAUGCAUAAACUGACCAGAUGGUGCCCAUCUGGCUUUAGAUUUUGCCUUUGAAGACUUUAGUUUAGUAGUCAGUCUCCUCUUAUUUCUUCUCUCUUCUUCCCAGGACUUCUGCAGGUGGACACGCUAGGUGGCAACAACAGCAUAUACAGGGUUUCUGGUUCUAGCGCCUUCAUUCUUCUCACCCUGGUAAUUGAGUUUUCUCUUUAACCCUGACCUGCAUAGCCCCUUUAGCUGCUCUGAAGGAAGAAGUAAAUAUUUCUCCACUUGGUGGGAAGGUAUCAUCUCUAGGGUACAAGGGCAAGAUGCCCAGCUUGUCCAAUCCCAUCGAUGCCUUCUUUCCAGUUUGUCUAAGGGCUCCAGAGAUCUAAGAGUUGAUGAAAGAUAUCUGGUAAGAAGUCUUUGAGCCUACUGGCAUCUAGAGAUAGAUAAAGACUGCUGGCUUGCUAGCUUUCUUGGUGGUAGCAGCUCUUAGCAGAGUCUGUGAACGUGCCCAAAUAAAUGGACAAGUAUCACCAAUAUGGCUGUAAUACAGUCUGGUGAGGUCCAGGCCCACAAACCACUGAAGGACAGGUAAGAAGGAGCUCUCACAGGUGCAUAUGGAGUCAAGCGGAAAACAUUCAGGUCUUUUAAAGGUAAGAGAAGAGAGUGAUCAAAUCUUCAGUGUCCUAAGCAGGAAAACAAUCAAUGUAUCGAUUCUUUUUCCUCUGACUCCAGCCCCAACCUCUUCCCUGACCCACAAAUGGGAAAGCAGACCUGGCUCUGGAAAAGGCCUUCCAAAGGGUCAGAUCUCUCCUUUCUUUCUUACUGGUCUGACUCUUCAGUGGAAGUGGCCAAGUUGUGGCAAAAGAGAACAUUCAAUUCAAAGCUCUUAGAAAAGCUUAUUGAAAGUCAAUUUGAGGGUGGAGGCAGAGGGUGAGAGAGAAAAAGGCUUGGUUGGAGGGGAGGCGUUCACAUGCAGACACAUUUUCAAACAAGAAGCACAUUUUCAGUAAGAUGAACUGGACUGCAGUUAAGCAGUCUAGCCAUCAGGGGCCAACGCUGUGGGCAGGUACUGGUGAUCCACCUCUCCUCUUAGUCCUCUCUUAAAUCUGUCUCUCCCCUCCUAACUCAUCUCUGGGGUCAUCCUGCCCUCUAACGGCAAUAGCCAUUGGCAGAAAAUAAAGUCUCUCAGGGAGGCUGAGCUGGGGGUGGGGGGCGCGAGAAUAGUGACUCCCUAUGGGCUUGCGAUUUUCACCUUAUUCUAGUCACACUGUUGGCCUCUUUGGGGGAAUUGUGUUUGUCUCUUUAAGAGGAAAAGAAACCCUACAGGAUUUGGGGUUUCAGGAUGGUUGUUUGUUUUCAUUUUUGUUUUCCCAGAUACUCAGCUCUCUAAACUUCCCGUGGCAUUAGGUGAGUAAACGUUUGUGUGGCUGGCACACAGUGCAGUGCUAUAAACAAGCACAACUUGACACUGGGCCACAUGAGGAUCAUCACAGAAUUAAAGAAAUACAACACCAUUCACAACACAGAUAAGAGCCAUGGCAGGGAGCAGAGUCUGAAAGUGCCAUGGGAGGAUCAGACAGGGAGGUAAAAAAAAAAAAAAAAAAAA
rnacentral:lncRNA from 1 species